CCCUUAGAUGUUCUGGGCUGCACGCGUGCUACACUGAUAUUGCCAAUAUGUCAUUCUUAUCCGAAAUGGAUUGGGUAAUCAAGUAAUGAAAUUUCAUGCUUGGAAUCGGUAAUUGCAAUUUUAUCGUGAACGAGGAAUUCCUAGUAAGCACUAGUCAUCAGCUAAUGUUGAUUAUGUCCCUGCCCUUUGUACACACCGCCCGUCGCACCUACCGAUUGAAUGACUCGGUGAAAAAUCGGGACUGUGGUCUAGCUUGCUUAAUUGCAAACUUGACUGUGGGAACUUUCUUUAACCUAUUCAUUUAGAGGAAGGUGAAGUCGUAACA
rnacentral:rRNA from 1 species